CCAAGGAUAGUGUAAAGUUUCAAAUUGAAAAAGACACGGCAAGAACUGUAUAGGGUCGCCGACAAUCUAGAACAGUAAGAGCAGGCAUAGGCUAGAGCAGGUACGUUACUCAAAAAUGUGGAUUAGAACAACGUUUUUACGAGAUAAACAAUUCCUUGUCACUCCCUUCGUAACUCGUUUACUACUAGUAAAUGUUGAAUUGCAAGAGCUCUUAUUUGGGCAUGACAACUUUCUGUUUUGUAAAGCUGAUGGCUUACACUACGA